rfam:Corchorus olitorius cultivar O-4 contig14734, whole genome shotgun sequence.
GGAUAUUUGGUUUGAUGGUAAAGUGUUGAAUUCUUAGUUUCAAUGGUUAGGGUUCAAUCCUUAAUAUCCC